AAAAGUUUUCUCGGGAUUCGAGUUUUCCACGAAUUGAAACAUCUUUCAGAGGUAUUAAGAAAGCCUACAUCUUUUCUUAGAAUUUUAUAUGUAAAUUAUGAAAUAGUCUAAGAUUUCUAUAAUUUAUAAGAUUUUUCUGAUUUUUUAGUUUCUUGUAAUUAAAAAAUAAAUACUUAAAUUUAUCAAUGUUAUAACAUUUUAUCAGAAAUCUUAAGAUAUUUUUUAGAAUUUUAGAAUUUAUAUGUUUGAAGAAUUCUAGGAAAGAUUUCUCAACAUUUCUGAAAAGUGCUCCAAUUUGUAUUUUAAAAAGUGAGAAAUUUUCUAAAAAAUUAUAAAAUUGUAUUGAAAUUCUGAAAUUUACAUAAAAAUUCUAAAGAAUUAUAUGAAAAACUCUCAAAGAAAUUUUCACCCGGAUAGUGAAUAAAGUUUAACUAUUUUAAUCGGUAGAUUUGGUAUAAAUUGACGCAACUUCCGUCAAGAUAAAACUUGAAAAUUCCAUUUACAUCGAAUAUAGGAGUAAAAAACAAAGUUGAUAAUUCAGAUAUUUACAUGUGUCUUAUGAAUGUUUCGUAUAUAUGAAAGAUUUGACAAAAGCGAAUAAGACUCGUUUUCUUCUUUUCAUUCCGCGGAAGAUUUAACAGAAAAAGUAUUCGCAUCGCGGAACAUAUAACUUUAAUUCAACCCACGUCGAGAUUCGUUCCCCGGAAGUAGUUCGCACACGUGAUAUCGACGGUGUCGCGCUGUGUCGUAGGCACCGAGGUAGAAGUUCACCGACGUUCAUUCCCGUCGGAAGAAAGAGGAGGGGGAAGGGAAAAAGGCUUCCCGAUUCUCCGCUCCAAACAGAGGCGGAAGUGCACGGAUUAUUGAUUGACGGCGGCAAGGUGCGGAUACAGCCCUGGCACUCAACCUCCACCCUCCCCCUCCCCGCGCUGCAGCGCUCCGACGCGAGCGAGGGGAGAGCGCCACCCCGGAGAGACUGCAUGCAUGCACAAUGCGCAGCGCGCCGAGACGGCGAGCACGCUCCAAAUAGCAUGCAUCGGGGAGCGAGUUCCUUCGACGACGUAACUCGAAAAUUACGAAGAGAAAUUUCACGUACGAUUCUGGAGGGUUGACUGGGAUUGUAGUUGGAAAGAGAGAGAGAGAGAGAGAGAGAGAGACCUUGCAUUGGCGUUUCGCUCCAUCGUGGCUUCACCUGCCAAGGUCGGACGGGAAACCGCGGGAGGGAACGAAUCGCGACGACUUCUGCGAUAGCGCCUCUUAUCGCAGAGCGUGUCGAGAACAAUCAAGUUCCCGGUUCCGCGCUUAAAUCACGUGGAAUUCGUUUCUCCGCCUCACGAAGGAAAUCGAGAUACGGCGAGCUUUGGCUAUCUGUACUUUCAAAAUACGCGUUUACUUUCCGAUAAGGAUUAUAGAUAAGGCUAUUUUCACGACGCGUGUCCUUCAAUCGGUACUUUUGUUUGGUCGUUUAGUGGCCAAAACAGCCGAACAAUUUUACUUUCUCGUAGAAUAUCUUAAAAUUGAAGAGAAGUCAAAAAGUAAUAAGUAAAUCGAAUUUUUAUUUUGACUUAAUGUUCCUAAUUAAAGUAUUAAAUUACCAGGAUUCAAAAUAUAUUUUGAAUUAAUUUGUUAUGUGACGAACGUAUGAUGAAUUUGCAGAUAUAUGAACUUAUAAAUUAUUUAAAAUAAGUGAUACUUAUUUAAUUCAAAUAUAAAAUACAUUUUUCUGUGUGUGUA
rnacentral:lncRNA from 1 species